AGGAGCCGUGUGAGGUGAAAGUCUCAUGCACGGUUUUGAAGACGAGUAUUGGUGGCGACACUGAUGCUUAGUUUAAU
rfam:Beggiatoa sp. PS contig01612_0987-0989, whole genome shotgun sequence.